rnacentral:rRNA from 1 species
UUGAACGCUGGCGGCAGGCCUAACACAUGCAAGUCGAACGGUAACAGGAAGCAGCUUGCUGCUUUGCUGACGAGUGGCGGACGGGUGAGUAAUGUCUGGGAAACUGCCUGAUGGAGGGGGAUAACUACUGGAAACGGUGGCUAAUACCGCAUAACGUCGCAAGACCAAAGAGGGGGACCUUCGGGCCUCUUGCCAUCAGAUGUGCCCAGAUGGGAUUAGCUUGUUGGUGAGGUAACGGCUCACCAAGGCGACGAUCCCUAGCUGGUCUGAGAGGAUGACCAGCCACACUGGAACUGAGACACGGUCCAGACUCCUACGGGAGGCAGCAGUGGGGAAUAUUGCACAAUGGGCGCAAGCCUGAUGCAGCCAUGCCGCGUGUAUGAAGAAGGCCUUCGGGUUGUAAAGUACUUUCAGCGGGGAGGAAGGUGUUGUGGUUAAUAACCGCAGCAAUUGACGUUACCCGCAGAAGAAGCACCGGCUAACUCCGUGCCAGCAGCCGCGGUAAUACGGAGGGUGCAAGCGUUAAUCGGAAUUACUGGGCGUAAAGCGCACGCAGGCGGUCUGUCAAGUCGGAUGUGAAAUCCCCGGGCUCAACCUGGGAACUGCAUUCGAAACUGGCAGGCUUGAGUCUUGUAGAGGGGGGUAGAAUUCCAGGUGUAGCGGUGAAAUGCGUAGAGAUCUGGAGGAAUACCGGUGGCGAAGGCGGCCCCCUGGACAAAGACUGACGCUCAGGUGCGAAAGCGUGGGGAGCAAACAGGAUUAGAUACCCUGGUAGUCCACGCCGUAAACGAUGUCUACUUGGAGGUUGUGCCCUUGAGGCGUGGCUUCCGGAGCUAACGCGUUAAGUAGACCGCCUGGGGAGUACGGCCGCAAGGUUAAAACUCAAAUGAAUUGACGGGGGCCCGCACAAGCGGUGGAGCAUGUGGUUUAAUUCGAUGCAACGCGAAGAACCUUACCUGGUCUUGACAUCCACAGAACUUUCCAGAGAUGGAUUGGUGCCUUCGGGAACUGUGAGACAGGUGCUGCAUGGCUGUCGUCAGCUCGUGUUGUGAAAUGUUGGGUUAAGUCCCGCAACGAGCGCAACCCUUAUCCUUUGUUGCCAGCGGUCCGGCCGGGAACUCAAAGGAGACUGCCAGUGAUAAACUGGAGGAAGGUGGGGAUGACGUCAAGUCAUCAUGGCCCUUACGACCAGGGCUACACACGUGCUACAAUGGCGCAUACAAAGAGAAGCGACCUCGCGAGAGCAAGCGGACCUCAUAAAGUGCGUCGUAGUCCGGAUUGGAGUCUGCAACUCGACUCCAUGAAGUCGGAAUCGCUAGUAAUCGUGGAUCAGAAUGCCACGGUGAAUACGUUCCCGGGCCUUGUACACACCGCCCGUCACACCAUGGGAGUGGGUUGCAAAAGAAGUAGGUAGCUUAACCUUCGGGAGGGCGCUUACCACUUUGUGAUUCAU